GGAUGACCAAUGCUUGACCAAUGGUUGACCAGUAUGGGAACAGUGGUGGACCAAACAUUGACAAAAGGCUGACCAAGGGUUGACCUGCAGUUGACCAGUAGUUAACCAAUGGUUGAUGAAUGGUUGACCAAUGGUUGACCAAAGGCUGACCAGUGGAUGACCAGUGGUUGACCAAUGUUUGACCAGUAGUUGGCCAAUGGUUGACCAAAGGCUGACCAGUGCUUGACCAGUAGUGGACCAAUGGAUGACCAAACAUUGUCAAAAGGCUGACCAAGGGUUGAUCAGUAGUUGACCAAUGGUUGACCAGUAGUUGACCAAUGGUUGACCAAAGUCUGACCAAUGGUUGACCAAAGUCUGACCAAUGGUUGACCAGUGGUUGACCAAUGGCUGACCAGUGCUUGACCAGUAGUAGACAAACGGAUGACCAAACAUGGACAAAAGGCUGACCAAGGGUUGAUCAGUAGUUGACCAAUGGUUGAUUGUAGGAAAUCAGCGGGAGAAAUGCGACGACCAUAGCAGAUGAUCAGCAAAUCUCGUUUAUUGUUUCGGCUGCGUGUAAAUUUAUAGCGCAGAUAAUAGGCUCAUACAUAUGGCUCAAGUGGAGCUCGGGAUUGGCUCGCUAGUCAGGGUCAACUACGCCCAUCUUUGUGCUCUGUGGUUAUCUCUCAGCAAACACUCUCUUACAGACUUCUCAAAUCACUGUUGCCAGCUUUGUUCAUCUGCAUCCUGUUUUGUUCCUAGUCCUCAUACCUGACCUUGCGCAUAACAAGGUUCCUUAACCAGCUGCACAGUGUCUGCAUGGCCUUUCUCAGUCAGCCAGUCAU
rnacentral:lncRNA from 1 species